UGUGUGUUGGUGAGCAUGGGUCAAAAGGACCCCUAUGUGGGCGACGAGGCCCAGAGCAAGAGAGGCAUCCCCAUCGAGCACGGCAUCAUCACCAACUGGGAUGACAUGGAGAAGAUCUGACACCACAUCUACAACGAGUUGCAUGUGGCUCCAAGGAGCACCCAUGCUGCUGACUGAGGACCCCCCUGAACCCCAAGGCCAACUGCGAGAAGAUGACCCAGAUUAUGUCUGAGACCUUCAACACCCCAGCCAUGUAAGUGGCCAUCCAGGCCGUGCUGUCCCUGUACGCAUCUGGUCACAUUGUGAUGGAUUCUGGCGAUGGCAUCACCCACACUGUGCCCAUCUACCAGGGGUAUGCCCUCCCCCACAUCAUCCUGUGUCUGGACCUGGCUGGCUGGGACCUGACUGACUACCUCAUGAAGAUCCUCAUGGAGCACCUCUACAGCUUUUCCUCCAUGGCCGAGCCGGAAAUCUUGAGCAUCAUCAAGGAGAAGCGGUGCUACAUCAUCCUGGACUUGGAUCAGGAGAUGGCUGUGGAGGCCUCCAGCUCCUCCCUGGAGAAGAGCUACAAGCUGCCCAACAGCCAGGUCAUCACUAUCAGCGAAGAGUGGUUCCACUGCCCUAAGGCGCUGUUUUAGCCUCCCUUCCUGAGCAUGGAAUCCUGUGGCAACCACGAAACUACCUUCAACUCCAUCAUGAGGUAUGACGUGGACAUCUGCAAAGACCUGUACGCCAACACAGUGCUGUCUGGUGGCACCACCAGGUACCCUGGCAUCGCCGACAGGAUGCAGAAGGAGAUCAUCACCCUGGCGCCCAGCACGAUGAAGAUCAAGAUCAUUACUCCAUUCCAGCGCAAAUACUCCGUGUGGAUCGAUGGCUCCAUCCCGGCCUCGCUGUUCACCUUCCAGCAGAUGUGGAUCAGCAAGCAGGAAUACGUUGAGUCCAGCCCCUGCGGUCUCUCCAUCAUCUACUACAAAUGCUUCCAGGUGGACUAUUACUUAUAUUACACCCUUUCUUGACAAAACCUAACUUGCCCAGAAAACAAUGUGAGAUUGUCAUGGCUUUAUUUGGUUUUAUUUUGUGUGUUUGUUUUUGUUUUUUGGGCAACAGGGGCUUGACUCAGGACUUAAAAACUGGAACAGUGAAGGUGACAGCAGUCAGUUGGACUGAGCAUCCCCCAAAAUUCUACAGUGUGGGUGAGGACUUUGUACAUUGUUCUUUUUUUAAAUACGUUGUUCUUUUUUUUAAUAGUCAUUCCAAAUAUCAUGAGAUGCAUUGUUACAGAAAGUCCCUUGCCCUCCUAAAAGCCACCCUACCUCUAUCUAAGGAGAAUGGCCCAGUCCUCUCCUGAGUCCACACUGGGGACGUGAUAGCAUUGCUUUCGUGUAAAUUGUGUAAUGCAAUUUUUAAAAAAAUCUUUGCCUUAAUACUU